CUACGGCCAUAUCAUGUUCAAACACCGGUUCCUGUACGAUCACCGAUAUUAAGCAACGUCUAGCUUAGUCAGUACCUAGAUGAGUGACGGCUUGAGAAUACAAGGUGCUGUAAG
rnacentral:rRNA from 1 species